CUUUGUAACUGAAAACGAGGUCUACAGAGCAUUAUCAUUGCUCCAAGUAAAUAAAUCAGUCGGUCCUGAUUACAUCCCGAAUAGAGUCCUGAAGGAAUUCGCGCAUGAGUUGGCACCUAUCAUCAAAGAUAUUUAUAACCAAUCAAUGAAAGAGGGAUAUAUUCCUGAACUCCUCAAAUCAUCAAUUGUUAUUCCAGUACCGAAGAUCAACUCCCCUAGAAUCAUAGAAAAUGACCUCCGAC